GGCUGUUCGCCAUUUAAAGUGGUACGCGAGCUGGGUUUAGAACGUCGUGAGACAGUUCGGUCCCUAUCUGCCGUGGGCGCUGGAGAACUGAGGGGGGCUGCUCCUAGUACGAGAGGACCGGAGUGGACGCAUCACUGGUGUUCGGGUUGUCAUGCCAAUGGCACUGCCCGGUAGCUAAAUGCGGAAGAGAUAAGUGCUGAAAGCAUCUAAGCACGAAACUUGCCCCGAGAUGAGUUCUCCCUGACUCCUUGAGAGUCCUGAAGGAACGUUGAAGACGACGACGUUGAUAGGCCGGGUGUGUAAGCGCAGCGAUGCGUUGAGCUAACCGGUACUAAUGAACCGUGAGGCUUAACCUUACAAC
rnacentral:rRNA from 1 species